rnacentral:lncRNA from 1 species
UGGCCUACAUCAGGAUUUAAAACACAAAAGAAAUGCAUUAACUGCAACAGUACCAUGCAUAAUUCUCCACUGCAAAUCCCCCAUUUUCUUUGGUGACUUAUAUAACGCUCUCCAUUGUGGUUUAAAACUUUCCUCUACCUGCAAAACAGUACAGCAGUCUGGUGUCUGCUCUCUUGUCCAGUACCCUUUUGUUUAAAAACUUAAAACAGGUUUUGUAGUAUGUAUCGCUAGCUUUGGACCCAAGAAUGUCAAUUUAUCAAAUCACAAGUAAACUUGUGUCCAUUAGAUUGGGAGACAAAGUCAAAUUAGGAAAAGGAUCACUGCUGUCUGGACUGCACAACCCACUGAUGUAGUCUCCCAGCAUUUGUAGUUCUCCACUUGUUAGUGAAGCCCGCCAUUUCUCAAGAGAUUGAGCAACAACAUGGAUGGAUCUCACACCUGUGAUCUGCAACUUUUAUGGAAUUGCCAAAGCCUGAUCCAAGACUAAAAGUAAGUGCAUGAAGUGGCUUUUCACAAGUUAUGUCCAGUCUUGAGCCAUAGAUCAGGGGUUCCUUUAAAAACCAGUAUAGAGAACUUGUACUGUGUGCCCUUUGCACUGUUAAAAGAGACCAGACUUUAAAAAGAUUCAAGUAAAAUAUAGGGGAUCUUCUCAGGUUCAUUUUCUUCUGAAUAAAUUCCUCUCCGGUCCCAAUCCAUCAAAAGUCUGUAAAAUGGCACAAGCCACAGACUUCCAACCCACAGUCCACAGCCCCUGUGAGGAGACGCUGCACAAACUGAAGACGAAAAGCAGCUGUUCUGCUCUGUAAGUGAAUAAGACCAUGUCCACCUUCUUUAGGCAGAUAUAAAACAUUCUGUGGUACCCAGUGCAGAUUGUCUCAGAAGAGGUUGACCAAGAUUGACCGGAUCUUUGACAGCAGGUGUGUUGGAAGAUCUACACAAGCUAGCCGAUGCCAGAGGGAGGAUACUAGCAAAUUGCUAAUAAGAAGAACAAAGUGGAAGGAGAGAGAGGGAGAGAGAAAUAGAGAAGAGAGAGAGAUGGCCCGACAGGAACAAAAGACCUUUCAGUGUCUGUGUCAACAGGAAGGGAAGUAUUUCCACAAGGCCUAUAGUGACAGCGCAGGGGGAUCUUGUUGGGGGAUGGAUAAGGCCUCCUUCACUGGCAAAGGAUUGCCAUUAAACAUGCAGUGGGUGGUUUUUAUUGUCAAAACAUCUAAAUGCUUCUGGACUU